rnacentral:misc_RNA from 1 species
ACUGGCGACUUAAUAGCUGCGGU